rnacentral:rRNA from 1 species
CCUACGGGUGGCAGCAGUGAGGAAUAUUGGUCAAUGGACGCAAGUCUGAACCAGCCAUGCCGCGUGCAGGAAGACGGCUCUCUGAGUUGUAAACUGCUUUUGUACGAGGGUAAACGCAGAUACGUGUAUCUGCCUGAAAGUAUCGUACGAAUAAGGAUCGGCUCACUCCGUGCCAGCAGCCGCGGUCAUACGGAGGAUUCAAGCGUUAUCCGGAUUUAUUGGGUUUAAAGGGUGCGUAGGGGGUCGGAUAAGUUAGAGCUGGAAACCCCAGGCUCAACUUCGGAAUUGCCUCUGAUACUGUUGGGAUAGAGGGUAGUAGCGGUAGGCGGAAUGUAUGGGGGAGCGGUGAAAUGCUGAGAGAUCAUACAGAACACCGAUUGCGAAGGCAGCUUACCAAGCUACUUCUGACGUUGGGGCACGAAAGCGUGGGGAGCAAACAGGAUUAGAUACCCCAGGUAGUC